GGACGAACGCUGGCGGCGUGCCUAAUACAUGCAAGUCGAGCGAGUGAAAUCAUCAGAAGCCUUCGGGUGGACGAUGAUGGAUCUAGCGGCGGACGGGUGAGUAACACGUAGGCAACCUGCCUGUAAGACGGGGAUAACUCCGGGAAACCGGAGCUAAUACCGGAUGACUCUUUYUCUCGCAUGAGAGRGAGCUGAAAGGUGGCGCAAGCUACCGCUUACAGAUGGGCCUGCGGCGCAUUAGCUAGUUGGUGAGGUAACGGCUCACCAAGGCGACGAUGCGUAGCCGACCUGAGAGGGUGAUCGGCCACACUGGGACUGAGACACGGCCCAGACUCCUACGGGAGGCAGCAGUAGGGAAUCUUCGGCAAUGGACGCAAGUCUGACCGAGCAACGCCGCGUGAGUGAGGAAGGUUUUCGGAUUGUAAAACUCUGUUGUUAGGGAAGAACAAGUAUCGGUUGAAUAAGCCGGUACCCUGACGGUACCUAACGAGAAAGCCCCGGCUAACUAC
rnacentral:rRNA from 1 species